GAGUUUGAUCAUGGCUCAGAACGAACGCUGGCGGCAGGCUUAACACAUGCAAGUCGAACGGGUGUAGCAAUACAUCAGUGGCAGACGGGUGAGUAACACGUGGGAACCUUCCUCGUAGUACGGAACAACUCAGGGAAACUUGUGCUAAUACCGUAUACGUCCGAGAGGAGAAAGAUUUAUCGCUAUGAGACGGGCCCGCGUCGGAUUAGGUAGUUGGUGGGGUAACGGCCUACCAAGCCGACGAUCCGUAGCUGAUCUGAGAGGAUGAUCAGCCACACUGGGACUGAGACACGGCCCAGACUCCUACGGGAGGCAGCAGUGGGGAAUCUUGGACAAUGGGCGCAAGCCUGAUCCAGCCAUGCCGCGUGAGUGAAGAAGGCCUUAGGGUUGUAAAGCUCUUUUGGCAGGGACGAUAAUGACGGUACCUGCAGAAUAAGCCCCGGCAAACUUCGUGCCAGCCGCCGCCGU
rnacentral:rRNA from 1 species